GCCAGGGUAGCUCAGUGGUUAGAGCGAGCGUUUCAUAAGCGCUAGGUCGCGAGUUCAACUCUCGCCCCUGGUA
rnacentral:tRNA from 2 species